rnacentral:rRNA from 1 species
GCCUACGGGGCGCAGCAGUCGGGAAUAUUGCGCAAUGGAGGAAACUCUGACGCAGUGACGCCGCGUAUAGGAAGAAGGUUUUCGGAUUGUAAACUAUUGUCGUGAGGGAAGAAAUUGACAGUACCUCAGGAGGAAGCUCCGGCUAACUAUGUGCCAGCAGCCGCGGUAAUACGGAGGAUGCGAGCGUUAUCCGGAUUUAUUGGGUUUAAAGGGUGCGUAGGCGGAAUGCCAAGUCAGCGGUAAAAUCGCGGGGCUCAACCUCGCUCCGCCGUUGAAACUGGCGUUCUUGAGUGGGCGAGAAGUAU